rnacentral:rRNA from 1 species
UACAGAGGGUGCAAGCGUUAAUCGGAAUUACUGGGCGUAAAGCGUGUGUAGGUGGUUUGCUAAGUCAGGUGUGAAAUCCCUGGGCUCAACCUAGGAAUUGCAUUUGAUACUGGCAGACUAGAGUGCGGUAGAGGAUGGUGGAAUUCCCGGUGUAGCGGUGAAAUGCGUAGAUAUCGGGAGGAACAUCAGUGGCGAAGGCGGCCAUCUGGACUGACACUGGCACUGAGACACGAAAGCGUGGGGAGCAAACAGG